CCUGGGCACCCCACAGGCCUUGGAGCAGGGGACCCCACAGCAGUCACCAAGAGAGCCUCAGCCACCUGAUCCCCACACCUUUACACCUACAGAGCCGGAACCAGUAGUGACCCCUGUCACCACUCCGGUCGCCUGCUGGCCCCUGGGGAGAUGCUUCACUGCCUUUGGCUGAGGAGCAACCCCACAGCCCUGGCUGAGUGGCUGAGAAGCAACCCCACAGCCCUGGCUGAGGAGCAACCCCACAGCAACCCCACAGCCCUGGCUGAGGAGCAACCCCACAGCAACCCCACAGCCCUGGCUGAGGAGCAACCCCACAGCAACCCCACAGCCCUGGCUGAGGAGCAACCCCACAGCCCUGGCUGAGGAGCAACCCCACAGCCCUGGCUGUGGAGCAACCCCACAGCCCUGGCUGUGGAGCAACCCCACAGCCCUGGCUGUGGAGCAACCCCACAGCCCUGGCUGUGGAGCAACCCCACAGCCCUGGCUGAGGAGCAAGAGGAGCACAACAAGCCACUAGUAAUGUCAAUGGCUGAAGAGGAGCCUGUCUGUGUGGCCUCCCCACUACCCUACCCCACCACCCCCACCAGGGCCUCAGACCCCUCCAUUCCCUCCUCCUGGUCCUCGUGGGGAGAGUAUUAGUAGCAGCAGUAUUUACACCGUCACAGACACUGCUCCUAGACUGUGCUCCUAGACUGUGCUGCUAGACUGACUGCUGCUAGACUGACUGCUGCUAGACUGACUGCUGCUAGACUGACUGCUGCUAGACUGACUGCUGCUAGACUGACUGCUGCUAGACUGACUGCU